rnacentral:rRNA from 1 species
AGCAGCCGCGGUAAUUCCAGCUCCAAUAGCGUAUAUUAAAGUUGUUGCAGUUAAAAAGCUCGUAGUUGAAUUUCGGGAUCAGUAGGUUGGUCGUGCCACUGGUAUGUACUGGUCUUACUGAUUCCUCCUUCUUGUGGAACUGUAAUGUCAUUAAUUUGGUGUUGCAGGAAAACAGGACUGUUACUUUGAAAAAUUAGAGUGUUUAAAGCAAGCUAACGCUUGAAUACAUUAGCAUGGAAUAAUGAAAUAGGACGUUUGAUCCUAUUUUGUUGGUUUCUAGGAUUGACGUAAUGAUUAAUAGGGAUAGUUGGGGGCAUUAGUAUUCAAUUGUCAGAGGUGAAAUUCUUGGAUUUAUUGAAGACUAACUACUGCGA